rnacentral:rRNA from 1 species
GAUGAACGCUGGCGGCGUGCCUAAUACAUGCAAGUCGAGCGAACAGAUAAGGAGCUUGCUCCUUUGACGUUAGCGGCGGACGGGUGAGUAACACGUGGGUAACCUACCUAUAAGACUGGAAUAACUCCGGGAAACCGGGGCUAAUGCCGGAUAACAUUUAGAACCGCAUGGUUCUAAAGUGAAAGAUGGUUUUACUAUCACUUAUAGAUGGACCCGCGCCGUAUUAGCUAGUUGGUAAGGUAACGGCUUACCAAGGCAACGAUACGUAGCCGACCUGAGAGGGUGAUCGGCCACACUGGAACUGAGACACGGUCCAGACUCCUACGGGAGGCAGCAGUAGGGAAUCUUCCGCAAUGGGCGAAAGCCUGACGGAGCAACGCCGCGUGAGUGAUGAAGGUCUUCGGAUCGCAAAACUCUGUUAUUAGGGAAGAACAAAUGUGUAAGUAACUGUGCACGUCUUGACGGUACCUAAUCAGAAAGCCACGGCUAACUACGUG